rnacentral:rRNA from 1 species
ACUCAAAUGAAUUGACGGGGGCCCGCACAAGCGGUGGAGCAUGUUGUUUAAUACGUCACUAACCGUAGAACCUUACCAGGGUUUGACAUGUGAGGCACCGGCAUGAAAGUGUCGUUCCCCGCAAGGGGACCUCAACACAGGUGUUGCAUGGCUGUCGUCAGCUCGUGUCGUGAGAUGUUGGGUUAAGUCCCGCAACGAGCGCAACCCUCAUCCCAUGUUGCCAGCGGGUAAUGCCGGGAACUCUUGGGAAACUGCCGGGGUAACUCGGAGGAAGGUGAGGAUGACGUCAAGUCAGCAUGGCCCUUACAUCCUGGGCUACAAACAUGCUACAAUGGACGGUAAACAGAGGGAUCCGAGACCGUGAGGUGGAGGCAAUCUCAGAAAUCCGUUCUCAGUUCGGAUUGCAGGCUGCAACUCGCCUGCAUGAAGCCGGAAUCGCUAGUAAACGCAGGUCAGCUAAACUGCGUUGAAUACGUUCCCGGGCCUUGUACACACCGCCCGU